rnacentral:misc_RNA from 1 species
GCCGGAGGUGGUGGUGCCGAUCGAAGAUACCGGGAAGACUAGCAAUGCUCCACCAAAGUAUCUUGAGAUGUCUACAGUAUGACCAACAAGUUUGGGUUUGUCCUGAAGAGGAAAUAAUUUCUAUCUCUCUCUGUUUGGGUCUUGUUCUGAAUGGGAAAGUAUCCCUCUCUUUUCUUCUCUUUGGUCUCAAUUACUCAACUGUAGAAGAGUUUCGUUGGAAAAAG